UUCAAGGAGUGGACAUGUGUCUUGAGGCCAUGGAAAUGAACCUGGAGGAUCCGAAUAAAGGAGUUCAAAAGUUUAAACCGCUUGAAUGUUGGGAAGGUUUAUGAACUUGAAAUGUAAUAUCGUCGCCUUCUGACGAUAUAGUUACUUUAGAAGUUCUCAUGGAGAAGUAAAGUUCUCGAAAGUGCUGAAA